rnacentral:rRNA from 1 species
UACGGGGGGAGCAAGCGUUGUUCGGAUUUACUGGGCGUAAAGGGCGCGUAGGCGGCCAGCACAAGUCAGUUGUGAAAUCUCCGAGCUUAACUCGGAAAGGUCAACUGAUACUGUGCGGCUAGAGUGCGGAAGGGGCAACUGGAAUUCUUGGUGUAGCGGUGAAAUGCGUAGAUAUCGGGAGGAACACCUGAGGCGAAGGCGGGCUACUGGGCCGAUACUGGACGCUGAUGAUGCGAAAGCCAGGGGAGCGAAACGGGG